CCCUUGUGUAGAUCAAUCUCUGAUAAUUUUCAUAUAACUUUACAUUGUGCCUCUUCGUAUAACCUUGUGGUGGGUCUACCCACGUGUGACCUCUGUUUUCAUGGGACUUUGUAUCAAAGCCUCAUUUAGAAACUUUGCAUUGCCCUUGGUAUAAUAUUAUAGCCCCUAAGGAUAGAAUAAGAUAGAAGAAAAAAUUCUUUUUGCUAGCAGUAAAACAAGAGCUCUCCCCGCCCCCACUCUUAAUCAAUUGCCCUGUUGAAUGAAUGAGGUGUGGAUGAGCAAGGCAUGGAAGGCAGCACCUCCAGCCAGCCUCAACUGUUGGAGAGGGGCUGGGAGCCAGACCCAAGGACAAUAAAACGUGUCAAGUGGGCUCAUUAAAGACAAGCAGACAUACCGACGGCCUCGGGGGUUAGAAGCAAGCACCUUCUUUUGGAAACACCCUCUUUGCAGCAUUGGGACAACACUCAAAAGAAAGCAGCACAAAGGACCAAUGGACACAGACACAGAGUCUGAAUCUGGUAUAGAUUUGCAUAAGAGGAAAGCUGCUAUAAAAGUGAGGUGUCUUGCAGAGGACCCCAGGUCUCGUCUUGUCAACAUGGGAGCAUCGAUCCGGAUCGGCAGAAGCCCGGCUCCACCCCCUCCCCCAUCUAACUCACCUGGCCAGUGAAGUUAAGGGGAGCAACUAAUUGGUAACAACAAGACGGAGUGUGUUUGUGUGUGUGUGUGAGUGGUUACUGGCCCCGUGACGCUGUGGAAGUUGUAGACUUGACAGAUCUUGAUUUUAGUAAUGCUUUUGACACAGUCCCACAUGAUCGUCUCAUAAGCAAACUAUGGAACUGUGAUCCAGAUGAAAUUACUAUAAGGAGUGUUGUAUGGAAGACACAGGAGGUCAUUGUCCCACUCUUCUCGGCUCUGGUGAGGUCUCAGCUGGAAUGUUCAGGUCUGGGUGCCGCACUUUCAGAAAAACGUGGAUAAGAUGGAGAGUUUCCAGAGGACAGCAACAAAAAUUAUAAAAGUUUUAGAAAACCUGCCCUAUGAGAAUAAUGGGCAUGUUUAGUCUACAGAAAAGAAGACUGAGGGGGAACCAGACAAUCAGAGAUCCUAGAAAUCUGUUUGCUGUGGAAAAAUGUGGAUUUUGCAUUUUUUACAGAGAAUCUUUAGUUUUUACAUUUUG